rnacentral:tRNA from 1 species
GAAUUAGAAGCUUAUAAAGCAUUGGUCUUGUAAGCCAAAGAGAGGUUCUACCCUAGUUCU